rnacentral:rRNA from 1 species
GGGUCAGUAGGUUGGUCGUGCCACCGGUACGUACUGGUCUCACUGAUUCCUCCUUCCUGAGGAACCGUAAUGCCAUUAAUUUGGUGUUGCGGGGAAACAGGACUGUCACUUUGAAAAAAUUAGAGUGUUUAAAGCAAGCUAACGCUUGAAUACAUUAGCAUGGAAUAAUGAAAUAGGACGAUCGAUCCUAUUUUGUUGGUUUCUAGGAUUGACGUA